ACGGGAGGCAGCGGCUAAGAAUAUUCCGCAAUGGACGAAAGUCUGACGGAGCGACGCCGCGUGGAUGAUGAAGGCCGGAAGGUUGUAAAAUCCUUUUGAAACCGAGGAAUAAGCGCAGGAGGGAAUGCCUGUGUGGUGACUGUAAGUUUUGAAUAAGCACCGGCUAAUUACGUGCCAGCAGCCGCGGUAAAACGUAAGGUGCAAGCGUUGUUCGGAAUUAUUGGGCGUAAAGGGCAUGUAGGCGGUCAGGCAAGCUUGGUGUGAAAUCCCGGGGCUCAACUCCGGAACUGCAUUGAGAACUACUUGAAUAGAAUCACUGAGGGGGAACCGGAAUGCCUAGUGUAGGGGUGAAAUCUGUAGAUAUUAGGAAGAACACCAAUGGCGAAGGCAGGUUUCUAGCAGAUGAUUGACGCUGAGGUGCUAAGGUGCGGGGAGCAAACAGGAUUAGAUACCCUGGUA
rnacentral:rRNA from 1 species